CAAAAACCCGAGAAGAGGGGGGCAGGGAACUCAGAAAGCUUUGCUGCCACGCUUUCAUCAAGCUUCACCUGCAUGCAAAACAUCAUCGUGACAGGGACGGUUUUCUCCUUCUCAACUUUGGGCUUGGACACUCUCAGCAUCCAGCCACAGGGUGCCAUAUUCUAAUCUACGCCCACAAGCCUGCUGGCCCCUCGACAGUAAAAGCAUCUUUCAGCCAUCUUGGAGAAGGCCUGCAUUUGAUCAAGGUGUCUGAUCAAGUCAAAGCUCAUGCAGGAAGACGCUCACCUGCUCCAUCUCCGAUGCCUGAUGUGGAUCUGGAGCAGAAGAGGACGUCUGUGUGGCUGAUGAUGUACUCCACCACAUCUGACUGCCUCUGCAGUUCCAUGCAGGCAGCUCUUCCGCUGGCGCAGGCAGACUCGUUCUGCUGGGAUCUGCAGAAAAGGCAGAUUGGAGAAGUCAUGGAUCCCAGAUCAUUUCCCCACGUCUGGAUUUUGCCAGCCACAAGCUGUCCAAUUGGGCUCUGGAGACUUCUGCAGUGGGCAAUCAGUCAUGCCACUGAAGAAAUUCUCCUGCAUGAUCAAGGACACACC
ensembl:lncRNA